AACAACUGAGAGAAACAUAACCCAAAAAUACCAACAAGCAACAGCAGGCGCAACAUCACCUUUAGGUGGGUUUCGUCUCUUUCUUUUUUCUUUUCUGUUCCCUUUUUUCUCUCUACCAA
rnacentral:ribozyme from 13 species